CUUAAUGAGACCCCGCCGCCCACAUGCCGGCUCUCCCGUGUGGCUUUCAUUGGGAUUAGGAGGGAAAUCCAGAACUUGACACGCCCAGUAAAGCGCAGCGUGGCAGUCCACGAGCUGGCUGUAAAACAAGCCAAGGAGGCCCGCCUGAUCCCUAAAGCCACACUGAGAGCUUGCCGGGACUCUGCCAAAAAAAUUAUUCCUGAGAUUCUGGAUCGUCUGAAGACUAGUCCUGAGAAAAAGGACCAAUGGUCUUUUUAUGGACACCUCACCGCUUAAUGGGCCAGCAUUUAUGGUCACCGUGGAGGGGUGUUCCAAAAUUUAACAAUUAAAGAGGUGGAGGAUGCCCGUGCGACAGCUACAGAAGGCCAAUUUGUCAUUAAUAUAUCAGCCCACAAGACCAACCAGGCCUUUGGUGCAGCCCAGCUGGCCCUGGACCAGGAGGAGUAUGGGUGGCUUGAGGAAUUCCUUUCACUCCGGUCCAACUUGGUAGGGGGACGAGAUGCAAACUACUUCUUCUUUACCUCAAAGGCCAGCUCCUGCAAAAACUUGAACAACUAUUUUCAGGAUGCGUGGGCGAGC